rnacentral:rRNA from 1 species
GAGCGGAUGACGGGAGCUUGCUCCUUGAUUCAGCGGCGGACGGGUGAGUAAUGCCUAGGAAUCUGCCUGGUAGUGGGGGACAACGUUUCGAAAGGAACGCUAAUACCGCAUACGUCCUACGGGAGAAAGCAGGGGACCUUCGGGCCUUGCGCUAUCAGAUGAGCCUAGGUCGGAUUAGCUAGUUGGUGGGGUAAUGGCUCACCAAGGCGACGAUCCGUAACUGGUCUGAGAGGAUGAUCAGUCACACUGGAACUGAGACACGGUCCAGACUCCUACGGGGGGCAGCAGUGGGGAAUAUUGGACAAUGGGCGAAAGCCUGAUCCAGCCAUGCCGCGUGUGUGAAGAAGGUCUUCGGAUUGUAAAGCACUUUAAGUUGGGAGGAAGGGCAGUAAGUUAAUACCUUGCUGUUUUGACGUUACCGACAGAAUAAGCACCGGCUAACUCUGUG